ACCGGCCUGGUCGUGGCCUUGCUCGGCACGGCGCUGGGCGCGCUGCUGGUUCGUCGCCUGGGUGCCCUGGUGCCGAGCCGGGAGCCGGCU
rnacentral:tRNA from 1 species